UGGUGUUGUUGUUGGCAUUAUCAUUAUUAUUAUUUUGUUCUACUUUUAUCAUUAUUAUUUUCAUUAUUACUAUUAUAAUUAGUAUUAUUAAUUCUUCUUCUUCUUCUUCUUCUUCUUCUUUUUACUAUUCUUUUUAUUAUUACUGAAUGUUGCUCAUCACCGGAAUCGAAUAGCUGGCGCCGUUGUUCGGCCUCGCCACCCGAGCAUUGGUUCGAUUCCUGUGUGGUGUCGUCAGACAUCCCCGUAUCGUGAGACAUCCCAUCUGUGGUGAAGCAGGUCUCAUAAAUGCCUCGAGCUGGUGAUUUUAUACUUCGGGUUCGAUACCUCGAAUCAUGGGUCAGAGUUGAUGUAAGGGGAAUUCUAAUGAAUCUGUUAGUUUACCGCCAUGGGUCACGGUGGUCGGGUCUCUUGUUAAUUAAGGCCUAUACACUACGAAGGCUCUCUCUGCAUACCUCACUACAAUUUAAUUAACAAGAGACCCCGUCAGUCUUGAGAUGGACAAAUUGCUUCGUCCUGAACGCUUCAACGGAUCGACGGGCACUAUUCCUGCGGAAUGGAACCACUGGUUGCGCACUUUCACAAAUUUCUUGGGCUCUAUACGUGUCGACCCGGCACCAGACAACCUGCAGCUCCUUGCCAACUACGUGACACCGUCUGUGUUCUCUCACAUCUCUGGCUGCAAGACGUACGAUGAAGCAAUAACCGUGCUCAAGACUGUUUAUGUGAAGCCCACUAACGUUAUCUUCGCGAGACAACUACUUGCUACGAGAAAACAGACUACUAGUGAGACGGUUGACCAGUUCCUGCACGCCUUGAAGCUCUUAUCAAAGGAUUGCGAGUUCCGUGCUGUGAGUGCGGACACUUACACCCAAAAAGCUAUACGUGAUGCAUUCACAUCUGGCACCUCUUCACCUAUGAUUCGUCAGAGGCUUUUAGAGAAAGAAUGCCUCACUCUUCCCGAAGCAGUGCAGUUGGCGCGGAGCCUGGAUUCCGCUCAGCGCAACGCAGAAGUGUAUAUGGCUCUAGCACCCUCCUGUAACCUCUCUGCAGCCUCAGAUGUCUCCCGAACUACCGCUGCGGCGUCCCCUAGACUCUAAGCUGGAGCUCCGAAUAUGGAUGACUACUCUAGGGGAGCUGAGAAUGUUCCCGAUAUUGCAGCAGCUGCGACUCCCAAACCAACGAGUAAGGCUACUUGUUACUUCUGUGGCAAACCCAGUCAUCCUCGCUUCCGCUGUCCGGCCAAGAAUACCGUGUGUUAAAAGUGUGGGAGGAAGGGCUACUUCGCCAUCAUCUGCAGAUCUACGAAGGAAGCCGCCAAUCGUAGCCCUACCAGUGCCUCUGCCGCUAUGUUGGCCACUAUGGGUACUGGUGGCCCGAGCAUGGCACCCCGGGGAGACAAGACCGAGACAGACUGCUCAUCAACUCCCCACAGGUAAGAGGCUGCUCCUACGCCUUCAAAUGCGUCCCUGGCGGCUGCUAACCUUCCUCGUCAUGCUUUUAUUCCUGUAAGGGUGAAUAAUGUACUUGUUAAGACUUGUCGAUAGCGGUAGCACAUCCAGCUUUCUGCAUCCUGAUAUUGUAGAGGAAUUAGCCAUCACUACCUACCCUUCACAAGACAAUAUUGUUAUGGCCUCUUCUCUUGUCUCUAAGACUUUAGGUCAUUGUUUUGUUGACUUGAAGAUUCAAGAUAAUUCCUACACUAAAUUCAAGCUUUCUGUGUUUCCUAAUCUAUGUGCCAAGGUCAUUUUAGGGGAAGAUUUCAUGCAGUUGCAUAAAUCUGUAAAUUUGGACUUGAAGGGUCCAAGACCACCUUUAACUGUGUGGAGUUACUUGUAUGAAAGUAAGUCCCCCUUCUCUCUUCCCUUACCUAGCUGAAGACUGUAAGCCAAUUUCAACCCCAACCUGGAGAUUUUCUAAUGCUGACCAAAAUUUCAUUCAGGAGGUAAAGUCACUAUUGAGCAAAGGCGUUAUAGAACAAAGUCAGUCACCUUGGAGGGCGCAAGUCCUAGUAACUAGUGAUGAGCGACAUAAACGCCGCAUGGUAGUAGAUUACUCAUGGACCAUUAACCGCUUCACUCUGCUAGACGCUUACCUCUUCUCUCGUAUUAACGAUUUGGUGCAUUCCCUGGCCAAGUACAAAUUUUUCACUUAACUAGAUCUAAAAAAUGCAUACUACCAAGUCCCAAUUAGGGAAGAGGAGAGGAAAUAUACUGCAUUUGAAGCGGAUGGGGGGUUAUGGCACUUCACUCGUGUACCGUUCGGUCUGACUAACUCUGUUCCAGCUUUCCAAAGGGUAAUUAACACCAUAAUCUCUAACCUUACAGACACUUUUGCUUAUCUAGAUGACGUUCUAAUUUGCGGUUCGAGUCAGGAGGAACAUGACUUGAACCUUGAGAGAUUCAGGCAAAUCGCAGUAGACUAUAAUCUCACUUUAAAUGGAAGUAAAUGUCAGUACAGCCUAAGAGAGAUAUGUUAUCUUGGAUAUUGCAUUUCUGGUGGAUUUCUAAGUCCUGAUCCCGAGAGCCUGAAACCGUUACUAGACUUGCCAGUCCCUUCUGAUUCUGCCUCCCUCAAGCGCUUACUGGGCCUCCUGUCAUAUUACUCAGCCUGGAUUCCUAAUUAUUCAAGUCGCAUCCUGCCUCUCCUAAACUCUUAACUCUUUUCCUCUUGGUGGUUCGGCUAUUCACUGUUUUGAAUCCUUAAAGAAGGAAAUUUGCAGGGCAUCUUUGGCGGCCUUUGACGAGAACGCGCCCCUGCAGGCAGAGACUGAUGCUUCCGCUACUUCCCUGGCUGCCACUCUCAGCAUAACAGGCCUGUUGCUUCUUUUUUAGAGCCUUAUCUCCCUCAGAAAGACUUCAGCCAGCUAUAGAAAGGGAAGCCGCGGCUGUUAUCGAAGCGGUACGCAAGUGGCGACUGUUCCUCAUCGGGAGGAGGUUUACUAUAGUAACGGAUCAGCAAGCAGUGUCUUUCAUGUUAAAGGUGCGUCCACACGGUCGAACAGUGUUCGACGGACAAACACUGUUACCAAUUACCAAUGGAAAGCGGAAAGGCUCGUCGAUGACGUCAGAAGCGAGCACCAGGAGAUGUCCGGGACACUGUCCAUGUUCGUAGCUUCGGAACCUCAGACACUGUCUGUGAGGUGUGGUGUAUACGAUGCUGCCAGGCACACGAUGAACAAAGUCACUUGGUUACAGGACUUUCAAAGUCUGUCAGUUGAGUAGUUCUCAACUGUCCUGUCAACAUGGCCUGCCGUACCUCUGUCAUGGAGAAAGGUUGCCACUGGGAUAGAAGAGAGACCCUGCAGCUAAUCGAACUAUACCGACAAAACCCAUGCUUAUGGAACGUCAAGGCAGAAGUGUACAAAGAUAGAAACAAACGUGUCGCGGCAAUAAAUAAAAUAACGGCAGAACUUCAAAAAUGUGGAAUAUCUGCUAAUGUUUCUGAAGUGAAGAAGAAAAUAGAAUCCAUUCGUAGUCAACACAGGAGAGAUCUACGCAAACUGGAGAAGUCAAAGAAGUCGGGGGCUGGUGCUGACGACAUUUACACCCCCACAUUAUGGUGUUUCGAUGACCUCUCUUUCCUCAACGAUGGCGACAGCAUGAGAGAAUCUGUUUCAAGUACGGAUAGCCAAGUGUCUCGUAUGCCUGAAGAAGUGUCUGAUCAUGAGAUUUUCAAUGAUCCUGUACUUCAGCAAACUGAAGAUUGUUCCCAAACCCAUACAAAACCAACGCCUGGCACACCUGUUCCAAGUAAGUCUCGUGAUAAUGUACGACCUGCAACGCCUGAGCCCUCAUGCAUUCAACCUCGAACGACUCGAGGGAGGAAAAGCUCUUAUUCACUGACGAGAGGCAUGAGGUGCUUCAAAAAGCGCUUCAUCAACUGAAGGAACUGUCUGGAUCGGAGAAGGAUAGCAGUGAUGAAAGUGCUUUUGGUGGUGUUGUUGCCAAUGACUUGCGAAAGAUGAACGAAGAAAAUAAAAUCCAUGCACAGAAACUAAUUUCUGAGGUGCUUUUUCUAGGAAAAUUAGGCAAGCUCUCCUUUUCAUCGAAGGUUGUUGGAUAACUACUCCUGUUAAUAUGGUAGUGUGGUACGACCAUAAUUACAUGUGUGUGUAUUCAAAGUAGCAUGCAAAAAUGCUCUAAGUCAUUUGAA